AACCUUAAACAUUUUUUAACUCAAAAACACAAUGGCUGCUGGAUGAAUGACUGCCCUGGCGCCCAACCACCGGGGCUUUGCAAGUUUUCUGGGGGAUACCUUGAAAAUGUUCAUUUAA